CAGCCGCCGCGGUAAUACCGGCGGCCCGAGUGGCGGUCACUCUUAUUGGGCUUAAAGCGUCCGUAGCCGGGUUGGGAAGUCCUCCGGGAAAUCUGGCCGCUUAACGGUCAGAAUGCCGGAGGAUACUCCCAGCCUAGGGAGCGGGAGAGGCCGAGGGUAUUCCCGGAGUAGGGGUGAAAUCCUAUAAUCCCGGGAGGACCACCUGUGGCGAAGGCGCUCGGCUGGAACGCGUCCGACGGUGAGGGACGAAGGCCAGGGGAGCAAACCGGAUUAGAUACCCGGGUAGUCCUGGCUGUAAACGAUGCGGACUUUGUGUCGGACAAGCUAUGAGCUUGUCCGGUGCCGGAGGGAAACCGUUAAGUCCGCCGCCUGGGGAGUACGGCCGCAAGGCUGAAACUUAAAGGAAUUGGCGGG
rnacentral:rRNA from 1 species